rnacentral:lncRNA from 1 species
GCACCAAAUACUAACGCAGAUAGACUAUCCCAGAAAUGCCUCUGAAUGUAUUUUUUCUAUUGAGAAACAAGUUUCUGCUGCCAUACACAUUUUUAAAAUGUCCUGCAUGAAAACAAAAGAUAACUUCAGAUAGUAAUAAAAUACUUCAUCUGUGAACUUUGCUACUGACUCCUCUGAAUGGUCAUAAUGUUUUCUUUCCCUGGAACCCACUCCCUGUCUUUUCACAUCAUUCUUCUCAGAAGCUUCUGGAGGUAACAGGCUUCAUAUUUAAGGGUGGGAUAAACCCAGGAGGAUGACCGUUAUUUUGGGAAAACCCUCCCCAAAACUAUUACCCCUAAAGCCCUGCUUUUAGAAUCUGCACACAUCCGGGACUGCUCUAUUAUGACUGAUGAGAUUACUUGCCAUUGCAGUGGAAAAAUCAAAGAGCGCCAUGGUGCAAUCCAUGGGGUGAAUAUGGAGAAGCCGUCCAGUUAGCCUGGCAACCAAGACAAGCCUCAGUAGCUCUCUCUCAUCUGCCCUGUUGGGAGGCUGAAGAGUAUGACCCAUUGCAGUGGAGCCUAGACUUUAGGUAGGGUUAUUAUUUUGAUCCUAAAAGCAUCCUUUGGAAAAUAAGCACCUAUAGGCAACAAAAAUUCAUAAUUACUUGUCAAAGCUACAAACUAAUGGUUUAUGUCAAGUCCUGUUAAUCUCGGCUUGGGAUGGCCUCCUCCCUGCCUGAGAAGAGAAGGGAGAGAGGAGAAGGCAAGGGGAAAGGGAAGAAGAGGAAGGCGGGGGGGUGGGGAGAGUGAGGAGGAGAGGAGGGGAGGGUGGGGGAGAGUGAGGAGGAGAGGAGAGGAGGGUGGGGAGAGUGGGGAGGAGAGGAGAGGAAGGUGGACAGAAGGGGUGCGAGCUGGUCACGAGCACCAGGCAGGGGGCCUGCUAGCUGACUCCCUUCUCUCACGUGAACUGCUGAGGACAAGGAUCUACCAAGUCAUAUGACAAUGAUCCAACUAAAGGGCCGACCCUUGGUAUUCAGGUGACAAAAGUAUUUUUAUACUUCAUUCUAAAAAGCAGAAAGAUGUGGGAGAUUAGAACUGUGCUGUGAAUUACACCCAUCCAAAAUAAAAUAUAAUCAAAUCUGAGCCGGCACCAAACUCAGAAUGUUUAAAUGUCAAAGCUGUUAUAUGAAAAUUCCCGAUUAUAGGCGCUUACAAUGGAAUCCCCAGCAGGAUCCUUUCUUCCCUCACUGCAUCUCAGAACCUUCUCCACACAGCAGCAUCACCUGGAAACAGCCUCAGCUCCCUGCACAUGCCGCAGGCCAGCACGGGCUGCUGCCAGUGACACAGAGGUGGAGUCACAGACAGCAGCAGUGAAAUGAUGGCCUUAAACACUGCAACUCAGGUUAGCAACUGCAGGAAAACUUUCUUCAUUUUCACUGAAUUUUAAAGAGAGAAUCCUGUCUCUAUU